CAGCUGAAGAAACGCGGCCAGGGCAUUGACGUAUGCUCCCCGCUCCUCUCGCCAGGAUGGUGUUCACGCAUGUGCAAAGCCCCCACCCCCGCCUUGCCAAAGGGGGUUCAGGCAUGCCCACAACCCCCUCUCUGUGAGGCAGACCAUUUGUACAGACACACAACCCUCCCUCAGCAAGGGACAGUGUUCAUGCUUGACCCCACUCACCUCGGUGGGAAAGGUGUUCACACAUGCACAUAACCCCCCUCAGCAUUGGAGGGCGUUCAAACAUGUGCCCCACCCCACUUGACGCCAGAGGUGGUUCAGGAUUCUGCCUUGCCCCUGGUUGGUGUGUGAGAUGGUCACCCAUGCACAGUGCCACCUUUUAGGGAGAGAGUAGUGAUGUCACUAUUAAAUGUGAUAUUUCACAAAUGGUUCUUUCACUUUCACAGCUGAAGAAACACACAUCUCUUAAGGUAAGUGUUAGGGUUGGCACUGACAUAAGGUGUAGGGUAAGGCUUAGGUAGUACUUCCUCCACCCUGGGUAUGAAAGGUUUUCAAGCAUUAUCAUUCCCCCCCCCCUUUGGACAGGAGGAGGUUAACACAUGCACCCUCCCACAUCAAGGGAGGGGGUCACCAUUGCGCCACUGUCUCUGCGAUGGAGGGGUGUCACUCAUGUUCUUUCCCACACCUUGGCACAGGAGGGGAUCAUGCAUGUGCCCCUUCUGCACCCCUUCAUCGGCGAUGUAGCCUUGAUGUUCCUUUUAGGCCAGACGUAUUUUGCACUGCCUCAGCCGCUCAAUGGAUUAAGUGUCCCACUUCAGGUCAUAGUCUCACGGUUUGUGGUUUCGAACCCUGGCUUCACCUCUGUGCUGAUGAUUCUGAACAUGGAGUCUGCUUCAAAUACUGUGUCUCACUUUCUGUCUGCCCCUUCCCCACGUGUGUUCUGUCUGUUUGUCUCUCUCUCUCUCAAAAAACAGUGAAGCUAAAAACAUUUUAAAGCAGCUCCAUCAGUCUACUUGUCUUCUUGCCCUAUUCCCGCCUCUUCACAGGAAGGUCCAUUUCACCGAUUGGAAGAGACAGUAAAACCCUCGUGUGGCCAUUCAAAUGAGUCACUAUUUAGGAAACAAGUGAUUAUGCUACUUUUCCACGGUCAGGAUACCAUGGCCAUUUCAUGAAUGUCCCUAGGCAGGCGGGGCCUCUAAAACUAGAAAUGCUAGAGGUGAUUUUACUGGUAAGCAGGUGGGGUUUGUGUUCACUGAGUUCCUUUUACUUCCUUUCAUCUUUCCUUGAUUGUCUGUCUGUGUUGGGUCAACAAUUGGUUUGGUAUUGACUUUACAGUUAGGUUAUUUUUAUCUCAUGGUUAACUAUCCAUGGUUAUCCACUCUGAUAGAGCUUAAGCAAGUACAAAUAUUUCGUGUUACACAAACUAGCAUUAUUGUUUCCUGUGCACCUGCAGCUGUUUCUCCCAGCCCACGGGGAGCAAUCACUUCCCAUCCAGCACCACCUGCUUUGUCUUCCUAUGCCUAGCAGUGCACGUGCCGGUGCCUGCAGAACUUCCCUUGUUUCUCUGUCAGCUGAGUCUGAAUGGGCUUCCUCUCCCACUCGUCCCUACUUCUCAUCUCUUUAAUGGAUGACACACAUCGCUGAAGGUCACAGUGAAGUCUCAAACUUCAGUAUGUGGAUUACAUGGCACCAUUUUACAGUCUCACCUGAUUACCCCCUUUCUUUAAAAAUUACUUCCUUCCUCCUCCCACUGUCUGGGCCACUGCUCACCAGUGUCUGUGUUGGUAGGUCCUCAUCUUCUUCCUGCCCCCCAUCUGCUUUCCAUCUGCCCUUAUAUUGGGGUGAUCUCAGCCAGCCUCAGGCUUCUAUAUCCCAGCAUCUGGGGCCUCUAAGUCUUUAUGCACUGCCCACAGCUGUUCAUGUCUCCAGACACCUGACUCCAGCUGUGCACCACACAGGUGCUACCCUCCCCAGACUCCGCUACCUCCCUGUAGGCCUCUCCUAUUCCCCUCCCCUUUUUUUACCGGGCUGCUGCCACACUGGCCCCUCCCUGUUCCCUGAGCUUGUCAGGCACAUACUCCUGCUUCAGGUCUUUGCACUCACUUUGCCUCUCUCUGUCGGGGAUAUACUUCCACGUGCCAACAAGACAUACUCCCUCAUUUCCAUCAUAACCUUGCUCUGACAUCACCUGCUCAGUGGAGUCUCUGCUAGCUCUCUAUGUAAAACUGAAAACUGUUCCUUCUCCGACCUGAACAUCCGAUAUCUCUUCCCUGCAUUCUUUUUCUUCCUGGCCCUUGGCACCAUCUGUUUUUCUUUCUUGCUUGCUGGAUGUCGCCUACUGCAGUCCCUGCCAGAUUGUCGGCUCCAUGGGGUCCAAAGACCAAACUAGCUUUGUUUAGGGCUGGUUCCUUAGGGUCCUCGAACAGUGCCCAACUCCUUCAAAGGCUCACGCACCAUUUGCUGAGCAAGUAAAUAUUAGGAUUUCAUAUUGUUCUGCUGGGCCCGCCAUCACAAUGAACCACAGACUGGGUGGCUUAAGCAACAGAAAUUGAUUUAUUUAUUUUCUCACACUUCAGAUCAAGGUGUGGCCAGGGUGGGUGUCCUCUCUCCAUGACUGGUGGAUGGCCUCCUUCCCACUGUCAUCACGUGGUCUUCCUUCUGUGUGUGUAGUUGCCCACUCUCUUCCUAUAGGACACCAGUUAUCAGACUAGAGUCCCUCCCCACAAAUGAGCUCAUUCGACCUCCACUUUACCUUUCAAGAUCUGAUAUCCAAGUACAGUCCCAUGGGUAGUUAGGACUUCAAUGUAUGGAUUUUGGGGGCAAAUCCAUUCCAUAACAGGUUUCUAUCUGUUGUACCUAGUCACUACCUACAUGGGUUUUUUUUCUCUAUGCCCUUGUGCCCAUUUUUUGCUCAAACAGUGCUGAUCCCAGUUUGCCCUUAGCCCAAGUUAUAACUCUGUUUGUUUAUUUAUUUGUAUAGGCUUGCAUCUUCCCUCUACCUCUAUACUCCAAGUUCCUGGCUGGCACUGGAAUUACAUCUUUAGCACAGACAUCAUAACCUCCAGGUGAGAAAAUAAAAACGCCCUGGAAGACAAGUGUAAUGCAUUGAGUUCUGUGAAAGCCACAAAGGAAGCAAAAGUCAAACAGCUGAAGGAGAAAGCACAUAACCUGGAAGAAUUCUAUGAACAAAGAAAAGUGCCUACAAAAAAGAAGCUGAAAAUGACACUGUGAACUGGCGGCAAAGAAGAAUAAGCUGGCAGCUGCAGAUAAAAUUUGAAAAUAGCUACAUAAGGGGAGCCUGGGUGGCUCAGUCGUUUAAGCGUCCAACUUCAGCUCAGGUCAUAAUUUCACAGUCCGGGAGUUCGAGCCCUGUGUCAGGCUCUGUGCUGACAGGUCAGAGCCUGGAGCCUGUUUCAGGUUCUUCUGUUACAUCUCUCUCUGUCCCUCCCCUGCUCAUGCAUGUGCUCACUCUCUCUCUGUCUCAAAAAUAAAUAAACAUUAGGAAAAAAAAGAAAAUAGCUACAGAAGAAAUAAACAAGUAAAAGUGAGUUCAGCUAGUAAUUACCAGCAGCUCGUGAAACUGCUGUUCAUUUUUUGGUUUUUAAUCUUUUUGUAAUGUUUACAGUCAACAUAUGCAUAGAGUAUUAACAGAUAAAAAAGGUAAGUUUAGAAAGAAUAAAACAAUUAAUUUCUAAACAUUUGCAGAUCUCAAGUAGUGGCCAGACUGUGUGGAAACUUUGUCCAUGCUAACAUUCCUCGGGGGUGGUGUCAAUUGUCAUAAUCUGUAGGAAAGCAGUGUGUCGUACAAUGAAUCAUACCCAUCAAUGUGGUAGUGCCAUUUCAUGGCCCUCGUCUUUGCAACCCUGGGAAACAUGGCAACAAAUGGAACAAACACGGGAACAGCUGCAGCAGGCAGAGCUCACCUUUAGAUACCAGGUAACCUGAGUUCUGCCUGACAUACUGAACCCUUAGCACCUCACGCGGGUGAGUGUAGUGGCCCUUGGAAUCCCUAACCAUGGGCUUUUCAUUGUUGGCUUUUUCAGCUUGCAAUUCAUGAGAAGAAUGCUCAGGACAACGAGGUAAGUGUUUUCUUGUUUCUUCCUCUUUCUUUGGUGCACAGUCUGGCACCACCUUCUGACUGAAAGUGGAUGUGUUUUUUCUCCCCCAGAUCAAGACUCAGAUUUGGGACAGGGAGAUGGUGGAGCAGGGCAGGGAGGUCGCUUACUUGAAAUACAGGUGUGGUCAUUUGACUUGCGUUUUUAUGGGUGUUUCCAGGGAUGACGCCUGCACUGUUUGUUGUCUAGUAGACGACGUGGUGUUGCAACUCUUAUAGAAGUCCAUUAUUUUUCUGUAUCCAAGACUGGAAGGGAUGGAAGCAAAGAGGCUGCCUGAGGGAUACACGAGGCAGAAACCAAUCACUGCAAGAACCCUCCAAGGAGAGGGCAGUCUGGAUCCUGGGGACCUCCUCCGUUAACUGGACGAUUCUGCAUGCCCUACCCUGGAGACGCCCCACCCCCAAGGACUAUUAGGCACGUCCACCUCGUGAACCUUAGUGGCCCUGAGGCCACCCGGAACCCCUCCACCUGCAACACUUGAAUUUCAGCUCACUUUUCCAGAGGACACAAUUACCCUCCAAAGUGUACUGCACUUAAGCUGAGAAGUACCUCCGAAGUAAAAUAAAUUAGCCGAACCCAACUAACAUGCUAUUUUGUAUGCAAGAGUCCUGGUCCUUUCCCAGGAUUGCCUUGCAGGCUGUACCCCGUGGACCACCCUUCACCACCAGUCAUGGGUUAUAGGCCACAUCCCCCUCUUCCACCUACUCUAUUUGUUAAGAUCACCUGAACUGGAUGAGUGGCUGGUAAAGUAUAUUCAUCUUCUUCA